GACGAACGCUGGCGGCGUGCUUAACACAUGCAAGUCGAACGGACAGGCCCUGCUUUUGUGGGGUGCUCGAGUGGCGAACGGGUGAGUAACACGUGAGUAACCUGCCCUUGACUUUGGGAUAACUUCAGGAAACUGGGGCUAAUACCGGAUAGGAGCUCCUGCUGCAUGGUGGGGGUUGGAAAGUUUCGGCGGUUGGGGAUGGACUCGCGGCUUAUCAGCUUGUUGGUGGGGUAGUGGCUUACCAAGGCUUUGACGGGUAGCCGGCCUGAGAGGGUGACCGGCCACAUUGGGACUGAGAUACGGCCCAGACUGCUACGGGAGGCAGCAGUGGGGAAUAUUGCACAAUGGGCGGAAGCCUGAUGCAGCAACGCCGCGUGCGGGAGGACGGCCUUAGGGUUGUAAACCGCUUUCGCCUGUGACGAAGCGUGAGUGACGGUAAUGGGUAAAGAAGCACCGGCUAACUACGUG
rnacentral:rRNA from 1 species